UCCUACGGGGCGCAGCAGUAAGGAAUAUUGGGCAAUGGGCGCAAGCCUGACCCAGCCACGCCGCGUGAGUGAUGAAGGCCUUCGGGUCGUAAAGCUCUGUGGGGAGGGACGAAUCUCUGCAACCUAAUACGUUGCAGACUGACGGUACCUCCUUAGCAAGCACCGGCCAACUCCGUGCCAGCAGCCGCGGUAAUACGGAGGGUGCAAACGUUGCUCGGAAUCAUUGGGCGUAAAGCGCGCGUAGGCGGUCCGGUUAGUCGGGUGUGAAAGCCCUAGGCUUAACCUAGGAAGUGCAUCCGAAACUGCCGGGCUAGAGUACCGGAGAGGGCGACGGAAUUCCCGGUGUAGAGGUGAAAUUCGUAGAUAUCGGGAGGAACACCAGCGGCGAAGGCGGUCGCCUGACGGAUACUGACGCUGAGGCGCGAAAGCGUGGGGAGCAAACAGGAUUAGAUACCCUUGUAA
rnacentral:rRNA from 1 species